rnacentral:rRNA from 1 species
UACGAAGGGGGCUAGCGUUGCUCGGAAUUACUGGGCGUAAAGCGUGCGCAGGCGGUGAUGUAAGACAGGUGUGAAAUCCCCAGGCUUAACCUGGGAACUGCAUCCGAUACUGGAUGGCUUGAAUCCGGGAGAGGGAUGCAGAAUUCCAGGUGUAGCGGUGAAAUGCGUAGAUAUCUGGAGGAAUACCGGUGGCGAAGGCGGCAUCCUGGACCGGCAUUGACGCUGAUGAGCGAAAGCUAGGGGAGCAAACGGG